GCGAGGCCCGAAGGGGGGCGAGUC
rnacentral:rRNA from 1 species